AGAGUUUGAUCCUGGCUCAGGAUGAACGCUGGCGGCGUGCCUAACACAUGCAAGUCGAACGAAGCGCCCGCGCGGAUUCCCUCGGGAUGAAGCGCGGAUGACUGAGUGGCGGACGGGUGAGUCACGCGUGGGCAACCUGCCCCGUGCCGGGGGACAACAGCCGGAAACGGCUGCUAAUACCGCAUGAUCCGGAAGGGCCGCAUGGCCCUGCCGGGAAAGCUCCGGCGGCACGGGAUGGGCCCGCGUCUGAUUAGUUUGUUGGCGGGGUAACGGCCCACCAAGACUGCGAUCAGCAGCCGGCCUGAGAGGGCGGCCGGCCACAUUGGGACUGAGACACGGCCCAGACUCCUGCGGGAGGCAGCAGUGGGGGAUAUUGCACAAUGGGGGAAACCCUGAUGCAGCGACGCCGCGUGGGCGACGAAGCGCUCCGGCGCGUAAAGCCCUGUCAGCAGGGAAGAACAAAGACAGUACCUGACCAAGAAGCCCCGGCUAACUACGUGCCAGCAGCCGCGGUAAUACGUAGGGGGCAAGCGUUAUCCGGAUUCACUGGGCGUAAAGGGAGCGCAGGCGGCACGGCAAGUCUGGUGUGAAAGCCCGGGGACCAACCCCGGGACUGCAUUGGAAACUGCCGGGCUGGAGUGCCGGAGGGGUAAGCGGAAUUCCUGGUGUAGCGGUGAAAUGCGUAGAUAUUAGGAGGAACACCAGUGGCGAAGGCGGCUUACUGGACUGUAACUGACGUUGAGGCUCGAAAGCGUGGGGAGCAAACAGGAUUAGAUACCCUGGUAGUCCACGCCGUAAACGAUG
rnacentral:rRNA from 1 species